AAUGAAGUGCCUGAAAAAGGAUUAUCUUGAUAGGAUAAAUAAUGUAAAAUUUGGAUUUACCUUUAUUA
rnacentral:tRNA from 1 species